CUACGGUGUCCUUCAAGUGGCAUCGCCCAUCGUGGGUCCUCCGCGGGGCGGUGGCAGGACAGACCAAAUGCAGUCUUUCGAGAGGGGUGAGUGUGUUUAAUGGGAAGGUGGGGGGACACACGACUAAAGCAGUUGGUAUGGCGCAGGCUGAAGUUCCACCGGGAGAGUUGCCCCCCCAGCCUUGCAUUCACUACCUAGAGGACACGAAGCGGCACAGAAGCGAAGAUGUAAUCUGCUGUUGGAGGCCCUCUUCUGUCUUAAACAGGGUCUCUGUUGGGGCCUUCUGCGUGCAAAGCAGGUGCACUCCCACUGAGCGGCUGUCCUUUCUGCAUGACGCUUUAAAAAUGCAAUAGGAGAGGCACUUUGAUCACAGCUGCGGUAUCCAUGCUGAAGAGAGAUUGUGGCUCAGCAGCAUGUUCAGCCAUAGCAACCCUAUUUGCAUGAUUGGACUCAUUCUGCAGUUAAGCCAAUUUUUCAACACACUUGCUAGAAAUGGAACCUCCUGGCGGCGUCUAAACUCCGAAGUUUUGAAGUUUGUGAAAGGAACAAAGGUUUUGUUCAAGGAACCAUUAGUGCUGUUCUUGUAAUUAGUGCUGUUCAUGCCAAGCAGCCGUGAAUAUUUUGUAUGUAUCUAAGGCAGGGGUAGGCAACCUAAGGCCCGUGUGCUGGAUGCGGCCCAAUC